GCGGCUGUGGCGGAACGGCAGACGCGCGGGCUUCAGGUGUCCGUGGGGGCAACCCCGUGGAGGUUCGAAUCCUCUCAGCCGCA
rnacentral:tRNA from 1 species